UACCAGCACCCCGAGUGGUCGGGGCGAUUAUUGGGCCUAAAGCAUCCGUAGCCGGUUCUACAAGUCUUCCGUUAAAUCCACCUGCUUAACAGAUGGGCUGCGGAGGAUACUAUAGAGCUAGGAGGCGGGAGAGGCAAGCGGUACUUAGUGGGUAGGGGUAAAAUCCGUUGAUCCAUUGAAGACCACCAGUGGCGAAGGCGGCUUGCCAGAACGCACUCGACGGUGAGGGAUGAAAGCUGGGGGAGCAAACCGG
rnacentral:rRNA from 1 species